rnacentral:rRNA from 1 species
GGUCAGCCACACUGGGACUGAGACACUGCCCAGACUCCUACGGGAGGCUGCAGUCGAGGAUCAUUGUCAAUGCGCGAAAGCGUGAACAUGCGACGCUGCGUGGAGGAUGAAAGCCUUCGGGUUGUAAACUCCUGUCAUGAGGGAAAAGCUGUCUUGGGCCUAACAGGUCCAGGAUUCGAUGGUACCUCAAGAGGAAGCCACGGCUAACUCUGUGCCAGCAGCCGCGGUAAUACAGAGGUGGCGAGCGUUGUUCGGAUUUACUGGGCGUAAAGCGUACGUAGGUGGUUUCGUGUGUCGGGUGUGAAAUCCCAUGGCUCAACUGUGGAAUUGCAUUCGAAACUGCGGAACUAGAGUGCAGGAGGGGAGAGCGGAAUUCUUGGUGUAGCGGUGAAAUGCGUUGAUAUCAAGAAGAACACCGGUGGCGAAGGCGGCUCUCUGAAAUGUUACUGACACUGAGGUACGAAAGCUGGGGGAGCAAACAGGAUUAGAUACCCUGGUAGUCCCAGCUGUAAACGGUGUGGACUUGGUGUUGGCGGUAUUGACCCCGCCAGUGCCGGAGCUAACGCGUUAAGUCCACCGCCUGGGGAGUACGGCCGCAAGGCUAAAACUCAAAGAAAUUGACGGGGGCCCGCACAAGCGGAGGAGCAUGUGGCUUAAUUCGAUGCAACGCGAAGAACCUUACCAGGGCUUGACAUGUAACUGCAAAUCCUGUGAAAGCAGGUCUCUUUCGAAGGUGUUACACAGGUGCUGCAUGGCUGUCGUCAGUUCGUGCCGUGAGGUGUUGGGUUAAGUCCCGCAACGAACGCAACCCCUAUGUCUAGUUGCCACCACCGGUGAUGAGCCGGUGAGCACUCUAGACAGACUGCCCGUACAAGCGGGAGGAAGGUGGGGACGACGUCAAGUCAGUAUGGCCCUUACGCCCUGGGCUGCACACGUGCUACAAUGGCCGGUACAGAGGGAAGCAAGACCGCGAGGUGGAGCAAAUCCUCAAAACCGCCCUCAGUUCGGAUUGGAGUCUGCAACUCGACUCCAUGAAGUUGGAUUCGCUAGUAACGGCGUAUCAGCUACGACGCCGUGAAUACGUUCCCGGGCCUUGUACACACCGCCCGUCACAUCAUGAAAGCCGUCGACACCCGAAGUCGUUGAUCCAACCCGCAAGGGAGGAAGGCGCCGAAGGUGUGGGUGGUGAUUGGGAUGAAGUCGUAACAAGGUA